rnacentral:rRNA from 1 species
GUGGGGAAUUUUGGACAAUGGGCGCAAGCCUGAUCCAGCAAUGCCGCGUGAGUGAAGAAGGCCUUCGGGUUGUAAAGCUCUUUCAGUUGAGAAGAAAAGAUUGUGACUAAUAAUUGCAAUUCAUGACGGUAUCAACAGAAGAAGCACCGGCUAACUACGUGCCAGCAGCCGCGGUAAUACGUAGGGUGCGAGCGUUAAUCGGAAUUACUGGGCGUAAAGGGUGCGCAGGCGGUUCUGUAAGUCAGAUGUGAAAUCCCCGGGCUUAACCUGGGAACUGCGUUUGAAACUACAGAGCUAGAGUGUGGCAGAGGGGGGUGGAAUUCCAUGUGUAGCAGUGAAAUGCGUAGAGAUAUGGAAGAACAUCGAUGGCGAAGGCAGCCCCCUGGGUCAACACUGACGCUCAUGCACGAAAGCGUGGGGAGCAAACAGGAUUAGAUACCCCAGUAGUCC